rnacentral:hammerhead_ribozyme from 1 species
AUCCAGCUGACGAGUCCCAAAUAGGACGAAAUGCAUGUACUGGAU